rnacentral:rRNA from 1 species
UACGGGGGAGCAAGCGUUGUUCGGAUUUACUGGGCGUAAAGGGCGCGGUAGGCGGUCGUGACAAGUCACUUGUGAAAUCUCCGGGCUUAACUCGGAACGGUCAAGUGAUACUGUCGGACUAGAGUACAGAAGGGGCAACUGGAAUUCUCGGUGUAGCGGUGAAAUGCGUAGAUAUCGAGAGGAACACCUGCGGCGAAGGCGGGUUGCUGGGCUGAUACUGACGCUGAGGCGCGAAAGCCAGGGAGC